ACGUUUUUUUUUUCAAGUGUACGAAGGGCACUACAUCAACUCUCGCAAGCUCUGGUAUUAGAGCACUGUGUGUUUUUUCGUAUGCUAUGGGAGUAGAUACUCGCAAUAGCGCUCAUUCUCAUUGACUUUGGCGAACGGGAACUUGUCAGACAGGCCGUGCCGACGCGAAUACAUCAAGAAAGCCAAUAUGGUGAAGUCAACUUUUACAGGACCAGAGUCGCAGACAUUUCGGAUAAUGGUUGGUGUUUUGUUUCGCAGGCAUAUUUGAAAUUUGUGGCCUGGCGGACAGCUUUUCCACAUACAAUCAAUGCCCGCUCACGUUGGAACGUAAGACGCUGAAGGCAACGAUGCGCAUCGCAGGCUGGCAUUUGCGCUUGAGAAUUCUGCUUUUCAAGUAUGGCAUGCUCAUAUAUUAAAGGAAUAGCAACUUCGCAUUUAUGUCGGGUCACAUCAACUGCAGGAAAUAAGCAAUCAUAUGCAAACACUGAAUUUAGAGCUGCGCAACGAAUAUCAAGUCAGGCAAUCAUACCGGAACCAACGUCGUGCUUUACUCACUAAAAAGGACGUGGAAGCACGAACACAAAUCGAUUACACCGCGCAACAAGUGCUGACUUAGUUGAUGGGGGCCACGCCCGGCAAUGAGUGAGAGCUCGUUGCGACGGUAUCAGAAAUGUUCUCGCACGUACAUGAAGCGUUCCGCAAAGAGUUCUUUGCCAUCGAAAGUGAAUCACAUCAAUUCAAGCGUCGCUUCGGUGAAGAGAAAUCCACAAUGGAAAGGCUAACAGGGGGCCAGAUCUGUACGAAGGAUGGACAGCUAGCCACUCAAGUCUCAGUCUUGGAGAAAGACAUGAAUAUCCUCAUUCCAGCAUACAGCACAUUUGGAACCGUUAGUCGAGGCCACUCCACAAGCUGUGGCGGCCGUGGAUGAGGGUGACAACACAGCGAAGACGACCCUUGAUGAGUUUGGUGGCGUCCUUCGGCGUCAUGUAGGGGAACUUUGCACAAAGGCCGAGUCGAAACACGGUGUCUUUGUUACGUCCUGCUGUCAAGGUGAUGCGCUUGGCAAACGAGCUGGGGAACGUGGAGGAGACCUUUCUCAGCCACACGUCCGUUAUUCUGAAGCUGCACCACAAAGCGGAGAAGGUACCGCUAACCCCACAGAGACGUGAGAGCGGGUUUUGGACGCAUUCUUCUGACCAAGAAAGUCUUACAAAGCGCGAGGAAGCCACCGGUGUGGAGGGCGCGCUUGCUCUCACGGACGUGAAGACGUGGGGAGGCACAUACACUGAUUUGUCGGGCAAGACUGCAGAGUUGUUUCUUGUGCAAGAAAUUGCCUGGGGGCCUGAUAGAGCCUCAUGAGGGAGUCGAGACGGCGCUGCAUUUGCUCAUGUUGUUGACCUGCAACGCUGUAAAGCUCCCUAGCCAUUUGACACGGAAUAGCCCAGGCGGACAGUGCCGCGGUGGAGCGAUUGCUCGCUUAUACAUGCAAGAACGGCUUUUCGCAAGUGGCACCACUGGUCUUUGCGGAGCAACACGAGAAUCAACCCAAUGAAGCUCCCGAUGAAGUACUUGCGUGCCGCGGUGCGCAAUCAUAAACCCGAAGCAGGAGCUCAGCGCCAUGAGUGUGGAUAACCCGAGCCUGAUUGCAUGGCUCUGUCAAAAGGGUGGGUGUCCCAGGACUGCCUUUGGGGCAGGCCACCGAUUUGCCGAAUCGCCGGGAGGACAACGCGCCGUGCUUCGUGCCAGGGAAGAGGGAGGCUCCGACGGUGACUAUGGUUACAGCUGCGCAAUUGCCUGGCUGAUUGGCUGCUUUGUUUGCUGAAGGUGGCGAGGCUGGCGCAGCUGGUCACAACGGCGGUUCUACGCCAUAGGCGCUGAUGUAGGCUGAAGCGCGGACCGUAGGGUUAGGUUAUUCGGCCCUUUGCCGCGCACGUUGCCGUGCAUUCACAUAUUUUGGGUGAGACACACAUCACCUUUGGAAUUCAUCAGAGGAGACUUCCCGCGGUGUGUGACGGGGACAGUGCAGAUUGCACGCAUGGAUACACUUCUCCGUAUCCUGGGCGUGCUCCUCACAUUCCUCUAUAUUCGUUUCAAACAUACUCUUGCAGACAGGCCGUCUCGUGGCUUGUCAUCAACCAUGCGAGGCGUAGUGCAGGGCUACUACAAUGAAGAGACAGGAAUCCUUG
rnacentral:misc_RNA from 1 species